GAGAUUCCCCCAGUAGCGGCGAGCGAACGGGGAGCAGCCCAGAGCCUGAAUCAGUGUGUGUGUUAGUGGAAGCGUCUGGAAAGGCGUGCGAUACAGGGCGACAGCCCCGUACACAAAAAUGCACAUACUGUGAGCUCGAUGAGUAGGGCGGGACACGUGGUAUCCUGUCUGAAUAUGGGGGGACCAUCCUCCAAGGCUAAAUACUCCUGACUGACCGAUAGUGAACCAGUACCGUGAGGGAAAGGCGAAAAGAA
rnacentral:rRNA from 1 species